UACGUAUGGUGCAAGCGUUAUCCGGAUUUACUGGGCGUAAAGGGAGCGCAGGCGGCGCGCCAAGUCUGAUGUGAAACCCCGGGGCUCAACCCCGGGCAUGCAUUGGAAACUGGCGGGCUGGAGUGCCGGAGAGGUAAGCGGAAUUCCUAGUGUAGCGGUGAAAUGCGUAGAUAUUAGGAGGAACACCAGUGGCGAAGGCGGCUUACUGGACGGCAACUGACGCUGAGGUUCGAAAGCGUGGGUAGCAAACAGG
rnacentral:rRNA from 1 species